UUACAAAUGCGAUGCUCUAACCUCUGAGCUAAGUGGGC
rnacentral:tRNA from 1 species